rnacentral:RNase_P_RNA from 1 species
GAAGCGCGUCGGGCGGUCGCUGUUCGAGAGAACAGAGGAAAGUCCGAACACCACAGGGCAGCGAGCCGGAUAACAUCCGGGCGUUCUCUGAGAUCUGAUAUUUCAAAUUUGAGAUCUCAGCUCUGAGGACGACGACAAGUGCAACAGAAAGCAGACCAGUCUCGAGCGAUCGGGAUAUGGGUGAAACGGUGGGGUAAGAGCCCACCGGCGUCGGUGGUAACACACGACGGCCAGGCAAACUCCUCGCGGUGCAAGGCCAAAUAGGGAAGCGAUCUUGGGACGGCCCGUUCCAUUGUUCCGACUAGUCGGCGCAGGCGCUUCCGGGUAGGCUGCAUGAGCCGCCGGGUAACCGUCGGCCAAGAUGAAUGAUCGCCGUUCCAACCAGUUGGAACAACAGAAUUCGGCUUACACGACGCGCUUCAUUU